AAUUUGAGUUACACUAUUCACGUAACUCAAGUUGCAUAGCUUAGAUAGAAUUUCCCCUAAGAUAUGAAAGCUUUGUAAGGAAGCUUGAAAAAAGCCUAUCCUCACUGCACGUAACCGAAAUGCAAAUGGCUACUCAAAUUUCAGUAUCUUGCUAAUCUGAUGACCAGAAUAUAAAAAGAGUUAUUUUUGUUCCUAGUGAAUUUCUAUUUGCAUUGUGUAUUUCACUCCAUUUGUUCAAAGUAAACAGCACAAAUUAAUGAACUGAAUGAUUUUAACCUGACAGGAUAGUCAGUGUACAGCUUAAUAUUUUAAAGAGACAGGCUGAAACAUUUACCAGAAUGCUUCUGUGAAACUGCUUUUGGUAUUUUUAGCAUUACAUCCUGAAGUCUGUGCUUUAGAAGUGACAUGGAUAUACAGUAAAGCACAGUUGUUAUUCUUGGCUAAAUGAACUUGACUGAUUUCUGUGAUGCAAAUUUUUUAGUUACUGAUUGAGACUAAAACAUCAAUGUAAUGUUUUCAAAACAUGCAAGUAUUGGUUUGUACAGGAGCAGCAGCUGAACACCGUGAUAGCCUUUUAGUAAGUUUAGGAAUUUGUUGGUGUCACUCUGGCAUAAUCCUAGGUAACUCGGAAAGGGGGUAGACCACAAGUGUCAAUGAAGCCCUCCUGUGGUAGGCCUCAGUGAACUAAUGUUCCUCCAUGUUAAACACUUUGUGUAACCUAGUGUAACCUAAUAUGUUAAGAGCUGUAAAAUGUAGUGUUAGCAGUUAGUUUUCGGAAGAAACUGCUUGUUUUAGGGGGACAGGAUUUGAGAUUCUUAUUUCUCCCUUGCACCUUAUUUGAGCUCAAAUAAACUUGGUUUGAUUCUCCA